UACCAGCACCCCGAGUGGUCGGGACGUUUAUUGGGCCUAAAGCCUCCGUAGCCGGUUCUGCAAGUCUUCCGUUAAAUCCACCUGCUUAACAGAUGGGCCGCGGAAGAUACUAUAGAGCUAGGAGGCGGGAGAGGCAAGCGGUACUCGAUGGGUAGGGGUAAAAUCCGUUGAUCCAUUGAAGACCACCAGUGGCGAAGGCGGCUUGCCAGAACGCGCUCGACGGUGAGGGAUGAAAGCUGGGGGAGCAAACCGG
rnacentral:rRNA from 1 species